rnacentral:rRNA from 1 species
UACAGAGGGUGCGAGCGUUGUCCGGAAUCACUGGGCGUAAAGGGCGCGUAGGCGGCCUGUUAAGUCGAACGUGAAAUCCCCGGGCUCAACCCGGGAACUGCGUCCGAUACUGGCAGGCUUGAAUCCGGGAGAGGGAUGCGGAAUUCCAGGUGUAGCGGUGAAAUGCGUAGAUAUCUGGAGGAACACCGGUGGCGAAGGCGGCAUCCUGGACCGGUAUUGACGCUGAGGCGCGAAAGCCAGGGGAGCAAACGGG